AUGACUGAAUCUGUGUAUCUUGGUGAAGAAGUCAACAUCUCCUGUCAGCUUCCAGAGGAACAUAAAGUUCAUUUCUGUAAAGAGGAUAAUAAUCACAUCUGCCAGAACAUCAGCUCAUCUAAAGUGACAGAAAUGAGUGGUUCAUCAGAGAGAAAUGAAGAGAGAGUUGUUACAGUGAGCAUCAGUAAUGUGAGUGUGAGAGAUGCUGGAGUUUACUGGUGUGGAGCAGAAACCAGAGACACAUAUCUGACUUUCAUCUCCCUGACCACUAAAAUUCAGCUCAACCUCAUGAUGGCUCUAAUAGUGAGACAUGAAGGAGAAUCUGCAGAGAUCAUCUGCCCUUAUGAUUCAAUCUAUAAAUCAAAGCCAAAGUCUCUCUGUAAGGGGAAGUGCUCCACUAGAGACAGAAAUCCUCUCAGUGAGACUGUGAGAGAAGAGAAAGAGACCAAGACUGACAGAUUGAUUCUGAAAGAUAACGUCACUGCAAGUGUCUUCACUGGGAGCAUCACUGCUCUGACAGCAGAGGAUGCUGGGAAAUACUGGUGUGCAGUGACAUUAGAAACAGAGCUCAAUUAUCUUCACACUCAUCUGAUGGUCAUCAUGAACGAGGGUGAGGAAGGUUUCUUCAUCUGAAUAUGUCAAACUCCGGCUGUGAAUUGAUCUUCUUGUGUUUGUAAUCACUUCCAGAGCUGAACUUGACUAAGUAUGAAGGAGACGACGUGUCAAUCCAGUGCAAACAUCAGGAUGAAGAUCAGAAAAGCUUCUGCAAAGCACAUGAAGCCUCCAUGUGUGUGAAGGAUGGAGUUUCACUGGAGACGAUCAGAGAUGAUCGAUUCUCUUUCAGUGAUGAAGCAUCUGCUGGAGUCUUUACUGUGAACAUCACUGAUCUGAGAGAAGAGGAUUCUGGGAUAUACUGGUGUGGAGCUCACGUCACCACUAAAGUCAUUCUAGAAGUCAACAAAAGUAAGUUUUGCAUUUACCUGAACUAGAUGGUUUCUAUUUAAAGGUGAUUAGCAUCAGUGAUUGUCUUGACCUGUUAGAUUUAGAGAUUGAAUAGCUUUGUGAUUUCCUCAGGUUAUGAAAGCAGAAGUGAAAGAACUGAGCAGCCACAAAUAGAUUUUAGGAAAUUCGCAGAUGCAAAUUAUAUCACAUAAUAUUAAAAAAAAAAACACUAAACACUAAGAUAUGGGUGCUGUGUGUUUUAUGUAAAAUGUGGUUUAAUGCAGAUACUGUGGUUUUUUUUAACUUGUAUUACUGCCACCUGUUCUCCAGGGGCUUCUGACAGAAUCAUCACUUCUUGCAUCUUUGUGACUCUGCUUCUGAUGGGAGCGUCUGUCCUGUUAUUAUACAAAUUAGGAUACAUCAAGACACGAGGUGAUGAUCAAAAUCACACACAUGAUUUAACGGUCUAUUAGCCAUGUGUGAUAUGCUACUGUUUUACUUUUCCCCUGUCGUUUUGAAUUUAAAUAACAUGAGCAGUUUAGCCAGUUCUCAUCUGAUUCAUUGGAAAAUGGGCCUGUAUAGUUAUCUGUAACUAAUUAUUUGACUUUUUUUCCAACCUUAUACCUGAAGACACUGUAAUACUCCACACUCAGGCCCAAAUUGACUAAACGGGUCAUAUUAUGUUCUCUUAAGGCAACUUUAGUAUACUUUUGCAUAUUUAAACUAUUAAGUAAGUUUUGUUGUGAGCAUUUGUACUCUGGUUAUAAUCCACAGAUCAGCAUCCUUCCCCAGACAGAACAGAGAUGAGCGGUGGAGAGGUGAGGGGUGUUUAGUUUCUUGUUUAUUGAACAUUUUGUUGACUGUCAUUUGCAGUAAAUGUGUGAUCAUUUGCAAUGCAAAACAAAAACUUAAUACUUUCACUCCUGAGUACAAUGUUUGCCAUGCUUGUUUGUAGGGCUGCACAAUUUGGUCAAAAUUUUGUGAUUAUAAAUACACAUGUAUAAUAAUAAUAAUAAUAAUAAUAAUAAUAAUAAACUGUUAUCAUUACUAUUAUUAAAUACAAAUAAAAAAGAUACACAUUUUUUUUUUAAAAUAUUAUUGUAAAUGCUCAUGUGUAAAUGAACACAGUGCCAUGCUUCACUCAGAAACAUGCAGUAUAUAUAUCUCAAUUAAUCACACAACCCUCGUAUUCAAUCGAGUUUAUUUCUCUCGUCUAUUUUCAGGCCUUUCAUGCUGCAUGUGAUUAUGAGAAUAUCAGAGACGUCAGACACUGCUUAGUCGUGGGAACUGAGGAAACUGUGUUAAAUUCCACUGCCACGCGUCCCACAGACUCGUCUGAUCCACACAACACACUGUAUUCUAAAUUACAGUUACCCACAAACCCCUCUGAUGGGCUCCUGUACGCUUCGGUCCAUUUCCAGAAGCAUGAAGAGUCUCUCAGUGAUGCUAAAGAAACCUCCAAUAACGAGGAGGUUCACUGUUAUUAUACCACGGUAAGACCCCGCAUGUCACUCAACUAAUUCCACUCUUAAAAAUAAAGGUUUCAGAAGGGUGGUGUUUCUUUCUUUCUUUUUUUUUUUUUUUUGUAGUGAUGCCAAAGAAGAACCCUUUUUGGUUCCCCAAAGAACCUUUAUGUAAACUGUUCUUAAAUGAGCUGUGUUUUUCUUAGUGUAGACAAUAUUCUAACAUUCUAAAGAAUGUUUUCAGCUAAUGCUUGUGCAUUGUGAAGAUUCCAUUGAUGUUAAAGGCUCUUCAUGGAACCGUCAAGGCCGAUAAAGAAGCUUUAUUUGGAAUCUGGUCAUGAAUGCAGUGAAAUUGUAAUGUGUACAGUGACUCCUAAAAUUAUUUACACUUCAGUGACACUUAAAAAAGCAUUUCAUUAGAUAGAAAAUUAUAUAAAAAAAUCAAAUACCAUUUAUUGUAAAGAAAGGUAGCAAAAGUACUUUUUUUCUCUCAAAAUAAUAAGUAUUGCAUGACUUUGCGUUUGUUUGUGAUUAGUGUAACAUAUUCACAGUGAACUGCCCUUCUGUACACUCAUAAAUGUGAAAGAAAUUCAUAAUUGAGGAAAAACUAAUAGCAUUUGUUUACACGUGGAACUUGAUCUGCUCUGCUCGGUUUACUAUAGUUAGUCAUUUUAUCACACUACCAUGAAAUUACAGAUAACAGAAACUGUAGAUAAACAAAGUAAACACAGGAGCAGAGCAUCUGCUGAAAAUAUAAAAGAAAACAACUCGACUGGACAUUUUUUUUUUUUUACACACACAACACACCCUUGCACCCAAAAGCAUCUGGAAAUGACUGAUGCGUCAAAAUGCAGGAAGAAAAAGGAGCCGUUAACAUAUGUACAUUCAUUAUGAAUUUUACUUACUGCCACUGUUUAUUUAUUCUUUCUAACUGCACUGUGUUUGUUCAGAGAUGCCUUAUAAACAGAAGGACCAUAUGACAUAAAGCAGUGUGUUUAAGAGCCGUACCAGUUAUGAGACUGAGAUAUUAAUACAUGCUAAAUUAAAUAUGUGCCUUGUUUAUAUCAUGUAUAUUGUACAGAUCAUCACAUGAGUGUGUGUUUGUUAUAUACAGGUUUCUGUUUUUCAUUUAUCAAAGUGAUAAUUCUACAGGGACGCUAACCCCCAUAAUCACCUUCAGCUGGUCAGUUGUUUGACUUGACUGCUAAUUAUUCACUUUGUGUACCACACGUUUCAGUAUGCUGCCCUCUGCUGUUCAAGUAUUAAAAAUGCAGUUUAAACCUUUCCUUGGUUUGACUCGAUUUAUUGGGUACCGGUCAGUGAACAGCAUCAUGACUGAUGAAAACAAUACAAAGACGGAUUUUAAACCACAUUUGCAUGCAAGCACCCAUGUGUUUUUCUACUCUUCAGAUAUUGUUAUUUUUGUUUGUUUGUUUUGUAAAUGUGUGUGUGCUAAUUUGUGUGGCAGAAGCUUUCAGACCUGCACAGGUGCUAACAGACAGGAAGUUGCUCACUCUCACUCUCUUUGGUUUAACUCCACUGUGAGUCAGUGACAGCAGGAAUGUAUUUCAUCACUGUGAGCCAGAAAAGAGUUAAGCAAAGAGGAAGAGGAAGAGGAAGAGGUGGAGCUGUUUGUAUGUAUAUAUAUAUAUAUAUAUAACAACCCUUAAAGAGCUGAAGAUAGAGACACAAAAUCAGACACAGCUCUCAGCAUCUUUGACUGCAGAAGAAUGUACAGAUUCACAGGAUCGAGAGUUUUAUCAUCAGUGAUUUUACAAUAUUUAUAUUUAAUGUUUAAUUAAAAUUACAAAUGAGUUUGUUUUGCUGUCAGGGUCGUGUUGUGGGACAUCAGAAGAACAGACUGCUUAUUUAAGAGGAACUGCUGUCAUCCGAGAAAUAUAAAGAUCAUUUUAAAUCAACAUAAAAUUUGGAACAUAACUUAUUUAGACAUGAGGCUUUAAUAUUAUAGCAAUUUUGGAUUUAAAAAUAUUUUGUAAAAUAUUU
rnacentral:lncRNA from 12 species